AGCGACUCUGACCACUCGAAGGUGAUAGAUCGCAGAUCCCAUAAGUUCAUUGGAGGACUUGGGGCUAAGCUCUGCCCAAAAAGCUGGGCUGGACGUGGAUGGAGACUGUUCUAAUUUUCCAACCACUCCAAUGAUCUUGACCUUCUGUCCUGUCGCACCUGUGCCUCUUCAACUCAUUACACCCCAGCAGUUUUGGAGUGUGGUUCACAGUUCCCAUCAUCUUGGGAUCCAGAUGAGCAAACACAACUCCGUGGAAGCGGUGACCUUUUUACAGAUUUCCUUAAAAAAAAGGAUACUUGGAAAGGCUUUGAAACCCUCCAGCGAUGGCGUGAUGGGUGAACUUGUAGCAUCAUCUCCUCUUCAACACCGACCGUAAAUCACCGGAGACGGAAGGAAUGUUGCUUCUGAAGAACAAAGUGAGUUCCACAACACUGGGAGCUCAUAGCUACUAAAUUCACAGACGGUAACACAGAUUCUCACAGUGCACACAUUAUUUUCUUUUAAUUCUCACCAAAGUUUUAUACCUUGUAUGUUGUUGCUCCCAGGUGUGAAGAUGUGCUAGCACAAGCUAUCACCCUGAGAUUAGAAAAAUCAUUUGAAGGGAGACAUAAACCACAACGUAGUAAACAAAUCAUUCCUGAACUUAGAAGGCUGUUAAAAAAUAAAUAAAUGCAGAAGCAGUUUAUUCCCACAGUCAUUUCAUAUCUUUCAUUAGAAUACAUUCCCCUGCUCCUUACACGGACCCUAACUAUCACGACUAAAUACUGGACGCUCAACCUGAUACUUAAACCCAACUCUGAUCUGGAAAUCAAACAUUUACCACUUAACACCUUAGAAAUUGUGAGGACCAGCUAAGAUAUUCACCAAAGAGCAUAGUGAUCACCCACUGACCAAUUAUUGAUUUAAAUGAAUACUAUAUUAUGAUAAUUGAGGAUAAUAUUAAUGCAAUUACAUUGUGUCAUCAACCAGCUUAGUUAUGCAGCCACAUGUGAUAAGAAAGCCGCUAUUUCCAGGUGUAAACGAGAUCCAGAUAACAUGUUUUGGAAUGUGACCCAUUGAGCUGUAAUAGUUAAAGGCAUUGUUUUUUAAACUGACAUUAGCUCAGCUUUGGCUAUUUGUUGGUGUUUUAUUUUCCCGUUACCGUCCUCUCCAUACAAGCUGACAGGAAGAGGAAUUAAAGUAAUAAAUACAGUGAUGCAGCCAGAUU
rnacentral:lncRNA from 1 species